AAAUUGAAGAGUUUGAUCAUGGCUCAGAUUGAACGCUGGCGGCAGGCCUAACACAUGCAAGUCGAACGGUAACAGGAAGCAGCUUGCUGCUUCGCUGACGAGUGGCGGACGGGUGAGUAAUGUCUGGGAAACUGCCUGAUGGAGGGGGAUAACUACUGGAAACGGUGGCUAAUACCGCAUAACGUCGCAAGACCAAAGAGGGGGACCUUCGGGCCUCUUGCCAUCAGAUGUGCCCAGAUGGGAUUAGCUAGUUGGUGAGGUAACGGCUCACCAAGGCGACGAUCCCUAGCUGGUCUGAGAGGAUGACCAGCCAC
rnacentral:rRNA from 1 species